rnacentral:lncRNA from 1 species
AUCAUAAAUAACUCUAUACAGUAAGUUAAUCAAAUAAGUUACGUUACAUACACAUAAAAAUACAUAACUCGAACAAUAAGUUAACCAAAUAAGUUACAUAGCAUAUACAUGAAAAGAUAGGUUACAUACAUAACUAUAUACAAUAAGUUAAUCAAAUAAGUAGACAAUAUACAAAUAAAAACACAAGUUAGAUACAUAACUCUGUAUAAUAAGUUAAUCAAAUAACUUAGAUAGCAUACACAUGAAAAAGGCAGAUUACAUACAUAACUUUGUAUAAUAUAAAUUAAUCAACUAAGUUAUAUAGCAUACACACAAAACAAAUGUUAGAUACAUAUAACUCUGUACAAUAAGUUAAUCAAAUAAUUUGAUAGCAUACACACAUGAAAACACAAGUUAGAUAUAUAACUUUGUAUAAUAAGUUAAUUAACUAAAUUAGGUAGCACACAUAUGAAAAACAUGUUAUAAGCAUAACUUUAUAUAAUUUAUAGUCAUAAGAUUAAGUAAAACAAGAUGAAGAGAAAAAGUGAAAGAAGGAAUCAAAAUAGUGAAAAGAAAAUUAAUUGGUUAAUAUAUAAAAGAAUAAAAAUAUAAAGGAAAAAGAAGAAAAUAUAUAAAAAAGAUAAAGAUGAAUGCACUUGUGGCAGCGCAUGUUCGGUGGAGGAAUAAAUGUGACGCACCUAUAAUAGCACACGUCUGUCUCGGGAUCGUUCGAUCAAACAGAAAGGAGUGAACGCUCGUGGGAAUGGAUUUGUGCUUGCCAACCCAAUUGAUGUGGCAGGAGGUACUGGUUCACAUCCUCUAUUCGCUACCUUGUGAGAAUCAGGCUAGCGGGACAAAAAUUAUGUUUUGGUCAUAUAAUUAAAGUUCGCAAAUCCCAAUGCAAGAAACAGUAGGAGCCAUGACUUCACUAAUAUGCCGUAGGAUGUGAUAAUCAAACUCAACUAGCUAGUAGACUAGUAAGGUAGGAGGUGUAGUUAUGCACCCAAAUAUAUCCAGAUUAAUUUGAGUUCUCGUCAACUCAGAUUUAAGUGCCUAUUUUCUUUUCAGUGGAAACCGUCUAGUUCAUCUUCAUUGAUAGAAUAUAUUCAUAUAUCUACAUGCCUGUAACACCCAAAAAUUGGAUUUUCAAAUAAUAGGAAUUAAUUGAUUUAUUUGAGUAUUUUUUUUUGUGAGCAUUUAAACCUAGCUAAUAAAAUUAGUUUGUGGGGAAUAAAAUUCAUCAUAAGGCUAGCAACAUGCUUUUGCAUUCAUGCUGAGACAUAUUUUAUUUUGUGCUUUCAAAAUUCUUUUUGGAAAGGCUUUGGAAAAAGAAACAGAAAAGAAAUAAAAAAAAAACAACAGCCGAACCCCUGCAGCCCCGCUAGCGCGGCCCACCUGCGGCCAGGCAGCCCAGCGCGCGCGCCUCCUUCCCCCUCCCUGGCUGACGCGCGUGCCCCACAUGUCAGCAGCGCCUUCGUUCUUCUCCUCAGCGUGGACGAGCCGGUUUCGGCCGGGAAAAUUUCCCAGCGCCGAACCGAAUCCGGGUAAGCACGAUUUCUUACCAAAUCGGCUAAACGGCGCCUAUAUAAGCCCCUAGGUCAACCCCGCGUCCUGCGUGUGCAUUUUAAUCGCGAAACCAAGCUCCAGCCGCCCUAGACUUCGCGAAAUCGGACCUCGCCGGAGCAGCACGCUUUCCGCACGCCGCGAGCCGUUUUCGUCAUCUCUCGGACCCAACCAAGCGCUUAGAAGAGAUCGUGGUGAGCUCCUCUUCAUCCCGGAGUUUUUCUUUCUCGAAACGGUGCUCGGAAACGAGAAGUCACUGUGCGCCGACGAGCUUCCGGUGGCGCGCCGGAGCUGGAAACCGGCCGGGCUGUGCUGAAAGGCGUUUACAGAAAUUACAUAACUGCCAC